GACGAACGCUGGCGGCGUGCCUAAUACAUGCAAGUCGAACGAACCGCGACUAGGUGCUUGCACUUGGUCAAGGUGAGUGGCGAACGAGUGAGUAACACGUGGGUAACCUACCUCAUAGUGGGGGAUAACAGUCGGAAACGACUGCUAAUACCGCAUAGGACAUAGGAUCACAUGAUUCUGUGAGGAAAGGUGGCGCAAGCUAUCGCUAAGAGAUGGACCCGCGGUGCAUUAGCUAGUUGGUAGGGUAAAGGCCUACCAAGGCGAUGAUGCAUAGCCGACCUGAGAGGGUGAUCGGCCACAUUGGGACUGAGACACGGCCCAAACUCCUACGGGAGGCAGCAGUAGGGAAUCUUCCGCAAUGGACGCAAGUCUGACGGAGCAACGCCGCGUGAGUGAAGAAGGUCUUCGGAUCGUAAAGCUCUGUUGUUAGAGAAGAACAGCGCAUAGAGUAACUGUUAUGCGUGUGACGGUAUCUAACCAGAAAGCCACGGCUAACUACGUG
rnacentral:rRNA from 1 species